UUACACUGCCAUAUAUAUUUUUUUUUUUUUUUUAUGAAAUAGGAGGCAAACGAGCAGACGGAUCACCUGAUGGUAAGCGAUUACCGCCGCCCAUGGACACCCGCAACACCAGAAGGGUUGCAAGCGCGUUGCCGGCCUUUAAGAUGGGAGUACGCUCUUUUCUUGAAGGUUUCUGGUAUUGGGGUGCCCCUGCCCACAGAUGAGAGCAGUAUUCCAUGUGUGGGCGAACCUGCGCCUUAUAAAGCUGUAGGCGCUGGGCCGGUGUGAAAUACCGUCUCGAUCUGUUGAGCACACCGAGCUUCUUGGAGGCUAAUUUAGCCUUACCCUCUAGAUGACCGCGGAACUGGACUUCACUCGAAAUGUCGACACCAAGGAUUCCGAUACUGGCUGCGGCACUCA